GCGCUAGCUGGCUGUCAGAAGUGACGGAGUAAGGGAGGGAGGGGAAUAGGGUGGACAGACACCGCUAGCCAACAGAGGGGGUGGCGUUUGAUUCGGUAAAAACCGAGAUUGAACGAACGGACUGUGUAACCGACGAAACUGCCCCUUUAAAUCAGGAAUACAGCGCAUUCGGAGCCCUAAUUAGAGCCAUUAAUCUCAAGGUCCUCCACAGUAGAGUAAUUACAGCAGGACUCCUGAGAGAGAGAGAGCGAGAAAGACAGAGAGAGAGAGGUGAAGGUUUACAGCUGUCCAUCUGACCUGAGGUCACAACCACUCCUGUCCAUCUGACCUGAGGUCACAACCACUCCUGUCCAUCUGACCUGAGGUCACAACCACUCCUGUCCAUCUGACCUGAGGUCACAACCCCUCCUGUCCAUCUGACCUGAGGUCACAACCCCUCCUGUCCAUCUGACCUGAG
ensembl:lncRNA